UACGGAGGGUGCGAGCGUUGUCCGGAAUCACUGGGCGUAAAGGGCGCGUAGGCGGCCUGAUAAGUAGGGGGUGAAAUCCUGCGGCUUAACCGCAGGGCUGCCUUCUAAACUGUCAGGCUCGAGCACAGUAGAGGCAGGUGGAAUUCCCGCUGUAGCGGUGGAAUGCGUAGAUAUCAGGAGGAACACCGGUGGCGAAGGCGGGUCUCUGGGCCGAUACUGACGCUGAGGAGCGAAAGCGUGGGGAGCGAACAGG
rnacentral:rRNA from 1 species